rnacentral:pre_miRNA from 1 species
GUAGUACUCCCUCCGUCCGGAAAUACUUGUCAUCAAAAUGAAUAAAAGGGGAUGUAUCUAGAUGUAUAUUAGUUCUAGAUACAUCUUUUUUAUCCAUUUUGAUGACAAGUAUUUCCGGACGGAGGGAGUACUUG